rnacentral:lncRNA from 1 species
GGCAUUUCACCCGGAUUAACGUUCGCAUCGUGACUCUAGAAGAGCAGCGGACUGUCUAGACUGAUGGCCUGAGGACACAAAGGGGCCGUCCUGAGCCGGGGGAACCGACUUCGCCGGGCCUGUGGCUGUCCUGGGCCGCAGCCGGGCCGCGCUGUGCGCCUCGGACGAAGCAGCCCUGGAGUUCAUGUACUGCUACAGGUCUGUGCCCAGGCCUCCUGAUUGUUGUUUGGAUGUCAGACUGUAAGAUGGGCGUAUGGUGGACUCGUCCAUGUUCCUCAGACUUCCAUGUGUCAGAAUAAAGCCCAACAAAGAAUACAGGCCUUGGAACAGCGAGACCAGGCUGUCGGAGGAGUGAGCCCCCUAGAACCAGGUAAGCCAGCAGAGAUGCAGAAGACCCGAGUCCCGCAGCUGCUGUCACCAGUGCCACCCGAGCAGUGAGCAGUGUCCACGUGCAGGGGACAGCAGGCCGUGCUCCCAGGACUUCCUGGGCUGUGUAGUGGACAUAUCAGUGCAACUCGGAUACAGUCAGCUACUUCCUGAAGUUAUAUCAGCUUCUAAUUCACUAGGAAAUUUUCCAAUUAUAAUUUACUUUCUCAAGUAGGACUGUUGAAAAAAGAGUGAGAUUUAGGUAAUUAAAAUUAAAAUUUCUUAUUGUAUAAUGGACUUAAGAGUUAAUUAUAAUGGACUUAAGAGAAUCUACUGAUCAAAUAAUGUUGGAUGUUCUAAUAUCUCUGCCUGUAAGUUUUUAUUGGACAUUACUAAAAUGGUAUUUUGGUCAAUAAAAUGGCUCUGGUGGAUGUGGGGUCA